rnacentral:sRNA from 1 species
GCCAGGUGUGGCGGCGCAUGCCUGUCAUUCCAGCGACUUGGAGGCUGAGGCAGGUGGCAAGCUUGAGACCAGCCUCAG